UGCAUGAGGAGCAUUUCGACAACCGUACACGUGCUCAAAUGGAGCUUUGUUCUGUGGUUAUCUGAUGUGGAGCUGCUCUGACGUUGGUUCCAUUGGCCGCAGGUCGGUAAUGUCAACAGUAGCCCGCGGGGUAUCAUCGGAGGUCCCUCGGACAAUAGCAUCCAUUCAAGGAGAGACACAAAAAGUGUUUAAGAGGAGAUGCAGCGAGCGAAGAGAUGCGGGCAGUCCCCUCCAUAUGUGAAACAAGGUGGUCCAAGCGAACGGACAAAAGACCAGGUGACAGGGACGAUCCGCCACUGGGAGCCGGG
ensembl:lncRNA